AAAAAACAACCUAAACCAAUUAAUUUACCACUAUAUUGCAUAUGUCGUCUUCCAGAUAAUAAAGAAGAAAAAUGGUCAAAUGCGACAAUUGUAAGGAGUGGUUUCACGUUUCAUGCCUUUCCAUUCCAAAGAAUAUAUUUGAUAAUUCUGACAACUCUUUACAUUGGCAUUGUAAUUCAUGCAGCUAACUAAGUAUGUCGAGAUAUCAAAGCUAAUCAGUAUAAACGGUAUUAUGUAAGUUUAACCGAGUUUCUCUUCUGUUUCGAGUUGGUGAAGAUAUUCAUAUCCGAGGCGAUGAUGAAAAUGAUAUUUAAAAAAAGUUUUGCUAACCAGAAUAUAAUUAUUACACAUU